UGGUCGGCCGUGGAGGUUGGGUGUGUAGGAGAUGAGGCUGGAAUCGCUGGGUGUGUGAUGCUCGCUUGCCAAUGCAUCCCCUCCUUAGGCUGCGAGGAGUUCGGUGCCGACAGCAUUAGGUUCCAUCAAGGGGACUGGUGUUGGGCACCUGGGGCUGUGUCCCCUGGGCUGGGGAGAGCAAUGAGCCUGGAAAUCCUCCUGGUGAUACCAUGGCAAGUGCCUGCUCCCUGCCUCUGGCUUGCUGGCACCGCACCCUUGGUCAGGAUUUGAAAAAAACAUUUGUUGUUGUAUGCUGUACGUCGUGAAAUAAUAGUCUGUUGGCUCCGUUGUAACAUCUGUGAGCUGGUUUUUGCUGUAUGAGUUCUUCCUUCUCUUUGCAUAGCGAUGGUUUGAAGUUUGAAUUAAUGCUUUAGGGUGUCUUUACUGGAGGGUGUUGUUUGCCUGACUGGAGACAGAUUGCAAUGACACUUGGUAAUAAUUUUGUGAGGGGUACUUUUUAACCUUGGCUUUUGAGCCAUUGUUCUCAUUGGUUUCAUUGUGGAGGAUCAACUUCUUUUCCCCAGGAGUGUAAAGCGCAUUGGGGUACGUUUUGUAGGGGGGGAACUGGCCCUACAGCCACCGAGGCCAGUGUUUCUGCACACAUAGCACAUCAGACACGGCGUGUGCGUUUCAUCUCUUUUUCAGUCAGUUUAGUUGAAUGUUAAAAUGGGUCAAAUAAUGCAAUACGUUGAAUAAUGUUGUGGUGUAACUUAACUAGAGUUGUAUGCAUGCAGUGAUUUUCCUCGUGGUAUUUUAGGACAACGUGCACUGUGGUUUUAGCACUAGUAACGCUUACUUACGGUUAAAAUACAGUGUUUGGAUGUAUGAAAAUUAAUAUAUGCUCUGUAUAUGAAUUUUAAUAAUAAAUUUUUAGCUUCUUUUCACUGUAGCUCAAGUUUUUACUUUCCCCAGGGUGACUAGCACCCACUGAUUUGUUUUGAGCUUCCAUCAAACAUAAGCAUGUACUGCCUAACAUCAUGGGGUAAAAGCUGUUCGCUUGUGUGUAUUUGAGCUCUAGAAUGAUUAAGCAGGCUUUUUCCCUGCUUGUUAGUGUGGACUGACUUUGAAAAAGCCCUGCUAUAGAUUGUAAUUCUCUGAUCAGUUGGAAUUUGUGACUCACUGCCGUUAAGAUUUUACGGUCGGCUAAUGCCUCGUUUUUUUGUUUUUGUUUUGUUUGUUUUGGUUUUGUCCUCAGCUGUUUUGGUAAGUUAACUUAUGUCUCGGAUAUUUUCUGUAUCCUGGGAAGUGCCACAGAAUAAUUUGCUGGUGUUCCUCCCUGACGUUCAGGUUGAAUAAAGGCAAGCUUGGGCCAGAGAAAGAAUCCAGACCUGAGUUUAUGUAUAUGAAGAGGGAGUUUCCCAUGUCCUUGAGGAAGAGUUUACAUGUUGGCAAAGAAAAGAAACAGCUCACAAUAAAGUAAAUCUUCAUUCAGCCUGAACAAAACAGUGCUAAAGUAAUAGUUCGUACAUGAUGCAAACUCCAGAGUCACCAGGAAUUGGUUUGGAUGUUCCAGAUGUGUGCUGGAAGGCUUUAGGAUCUAGUCAGGCUUGUGAUUUGUUCAAAUGUUGUUUUCUCUGACAUAGUUUGGUUUGACUAAAUGUAGCUUAGUUUUAGUUAACUAACAGCGCAUGAGCGCAUGACUUGUUUCUGGUUUCAUUGACUUCUGUCUUCAUCUUUUUAAACUGGAUGUAGUUAACAUGGGAAGAGUAGAAGGGGCUUCUGGUAUGAUUUUGGAAGCUGCUUGGGUUCAGGCAAGUGUACUACCUAUCUGAUUUAACUUUUGUGUCAGUGUCCUCUUUUGGUAGUCUUUUCAAACAUAAUCUACCCAUUUUGUAAUUAUAUCUGCAGUAAAGACUUUGAAACAGGUUAAGAAUUAAUUUUCAUUUAUUAUAUUUCUAAAAGGCUUAUGUGGAAUGAGCUCUUUCCAUGACUGAAGCCUCUUCAAUGUGGGAAUUGAACAUGCAAUGUAACAGCAAAAAACUUCCCUUUCUUUUUUGUUAGUAUAUUCAGAUAUGGAGGAGAAAAAUGAGUUGUAUAGAGGCUUUUUUACACCCCAAUCCCAAGGUGAGCUCAAAAAAUGAAUGGUGCUAAGGCUUGAUAAACAUGUUGUUUUCAAAGAGUAAUGUAUCUGUACCAGGAAUCAUUAUCUGGAAAAUAAUUAUGAAUGUUGGGGAAAUAAUAUUCUGGGUAUAUAGAUAGUGGAUUGUACUCAGGCUGAGAACAUAUGCUGUUCAUGUGUGUCUUCUAAAAAUAUUUUCACAUGCAAAUUACAUACCCGUUGGCUGCUUGCUUCUAACCAGAUUGUCACUGCAUGGUUGAUGGUUCCUGAGAAAUCAAAUACGGAGUGGGAGGUACCAACUGAAAAUCUUUGCUUUGAACGUUUUGUUUUUCAGGGUUUAUGUUUGCUUGGUGUUCUUUCUUCUUUUUCAGAAACUAACAAAAUUAAAAUUUAAAUGUACAAAGUACCUUUCUGAAAAGGUAAGAAGAAUCCAAUAACUAAUUAACUUUACGUAUACCUCUUUUUUUUUUUCUUGUUUAAUGCUUACAUACAUCAUUAAUGUUAUGUUAACGUUAUAACAGGAAAAUUUACGGUCAUGAUAAUCUCAAUUUUGAUAGUUUUUGUGUAUAUAAAGUCAAGAUUUCAGUGAUUGUAUUCUUCUUGCAUUUCAUAACUAACUUUAAGUCCACAAACUGGAUUAUUUAAUUACUACUAACGUUACUGAUGCUGAUAUGUACUUGCAGUAUCCCUUGGCCAUUGCAUACUAGUAUCUUAACCAAAGAAAAGGAGCUCUUUUUUGAGACGAGGGUUAUAAAAUCACUAGCAAAAACAUGCACUUGGUUCUUUUUUUAACUGCUGACCUAUUUAAAUCCUUUCUUUUUUUUUUUUUCUGGAGUAAAAACCUCUUAUAAGACGUUUUUAUGGCUAUUUUUCUCCUGAACUUUUGAAAAUAAAUGCUGCAUUUACCCUACUAUAUUAUCUGUAGCCUUGACAAAGGAAUAGAAAUCAAUUCGCUGCUCUGAAGUAAAGCUUUUGUUUGUUUGUUUCCCUGACUCUUAAGGGUGGUUCUUAUUUUGUCAUCCUUAACAGGAGCAUCUUCCUGCUCUGUAACAGAGAUGGAAACUGUUAUAAACGGAACACUUUAAGCUUGAUGCAGUGUUCUCUGUAAUCGUGGCAAAGAUUUCCAUUUGGGAAUUGCAGAUGCUCUUCAAACUAUUUUUUCUUACAUUUCAUUCUGUUCUUUGAGUUAUUUUACCUCCCUGUCCUACAGCCUGUAGCUUUCUGACUCCAAUCCAACUGGGAACAAUAGUCAAAACUUAGCAGGUUUUGGAUUUUUAGAAAUGAAUUGCUUUCAGGAAUAUUUCUAGUGGGAAAGCAUCAGUGAUGCAAUGCAACUUCGACAGUGUGAAACCAGGGAUGUUUUUUCUGAUUGUGGUCGCUGUGUUUGUGUCCUUAGGAUUCCUCCAGUACAGUUUGGGUAUGUUCCUGUGGCAUCACAGUGUUACGUUGCAAGUCAGCAUAAAUGUUAGUGCUGAUGGGAGAGAUUGACUUGGAACCAACAUGAGGUGAUAUAACAGCAGCCCAGCAAAAUUCGGGGUUUUUUUGUUUUCUUCAGACUACCUCUAAAUUUCCAAUAAUGGCAAUACAUUCAUUCUGCCAUUUGGAGGAGCCUGUGCCACAGAAUAAUGAUGUGAAGAAAUCUAACUUAUUUGCAAGGAAGAGUCUUCAUUUGUGAACUAGUACUCAUGCAGCAAAGAGGUGCUUUGUUAAGUUCAGCAGAACUAUUAUUGUUCCUAACACAGUCUCCUGUACGUGGACAAAGUUGUUUUUUCUUCAAAAAAUAAACAGAAUGCUGUCUCUGAAGAGUAAAAAGGUCUUUGACAUUCAGUGGGAUGAGAAUCUCAAAACAGACUGACUACUGUGGACUCCCCAGCUACAGUUCAGAUCAGUGUCUUGCCUCGCUUCUCUGAUGUGCAAAUGAAGCUCGUCCAGUAUGUGUUACUCAAGAAAGAAUUAAGAAAAUUGAAGUCAGAAUAUCUGAACUUGGAUCACUUGCAAAUAAGGAAGAUCCGCAUGCACGUGUUCUGUAAAGAUAAUGUUGAACGGAUCCAGAAACUGUUUUGGUAGCUGCAGUUUGCUUGUCUGAAAUCCCUUCAGAAGCUUGAGUGCAAAGCAAGCACAGUACUAGUGAUGGAUGUGAAUGGAUAUCUUAAGGAUAACAGUGGAUAUGGUGUCUUCAGAAACGGUGGCAUUAUGAAGGUGUACUUAUGUUGAUUUGUCUGGCUACAUGCUGAUCUCAGAAGACACAACUCUAUGGUAGUAGGGGGAAGAACAGUAUUGUACUCCUGGAUAACAGCAAGAAUGACAGCCCUGAUGAAUUGGCGGAUCAGACUGAAGACUGUUACGUCCUUCUGAGAUGACACAGGAAAGUUACAGAACAACAGGAAAGCAUCGUUGUCCUGCCGUACAGUCGAGAGAACAGCCACUCAGAAGCAAAGCCAAGGUUGUUAUUUGGGUCCUCCUGCAUUUUAACCUCAUGCCUCCAGCUCCCUUUCUCCCGCAAAAACCCAAAGCCUCCGUUAUAAUCAGAUGCUUCGUAUUUCUGCGCACAAGGCCUAAGGUGUUUCAGUUUGGGCUCCCAAAUGAGGAACACAGCGUCGGUGGCCAUCUGCCAAGGUGUUUGGUCUGACUCCCUCCUUCUUCGCAGAAAGCCUAUGGCAAAGGCAGAGGCAGAACUGAAUGUUCCUGUGUGGCGUUCAACUGCCUUAACCGCAUGCCCAUUGCUCUCUUCCUGCAGUUGUCUGUCUGCUUCUCUGCACAACUUCGAGAGCAAACACAUAUAGGAACCUAUAAAUAAUCUAAUUCGAUGCACAACCCUGAUUCAUUUCCUGAGCAGCGUGUGUCCCGCACACGCAGGGCGGCCGCGGUCCUGUGGAAAACUUGAGCAGAAUGGAUGAGGCCAAGUUAAUACCAUUAAGCAUUUAAACUUUGCAAUGAAAUAUUAUUCUAAUGGAGCUUAUUAUAGCUGUAGCUUGGAGUAUUUUUAACAAGGGAUGAGAAAAAAAAAAAAAAGAACGCUUUUAUUUAUAGUCGUAACUGUUUUCCUGUCUAACAUUUGAAUGUGAAUAUUCAGCUCGGUGAAAUGCAGAGCAUCAACCAGGAGGAGGAGGCGGCUGGUCUCCUUAGGGAGGAAGGGGAGAAAGAGUUCUGGGUCGCAAACACCAUGGGCAGUAACUCUAUUUUGCCCUUGAGUCUCGGGGCCAGGCUGUGGAGAGUUUACCCUAACUUUUGGUUUUCCUUCAGCAUUCCCAGCACAAGAAAUGAUCUCUUCUGGAGUUUCUUGGUGCGAUAUAUGUUGGGGGUGUUUAGUGUGUUGCUAUAAUCCAUCUGUUAAUAGCAUAAAUAAAUUUUUUAAAAAGGUGAUUUUUCUAUCCAUUUUUUUUUGCUAGAAAAUAAGAGAAGGCACUCCUCAACUCCCAGUUUUCUUAAAAAAUAAAUAAAUAAAAUAAAUCCCAGUCGUUCUUAAAAAUAUGUAGCAAAACCUUUUAUAAUAGAAAAUUAUAAAACUGGUCUCAGCUUCCCCCUUUAACCUUCCCAGUCAAACAGCAGUUGUGUUUGUAAACUACCCGAGGUGGGCUGUAGGCUCUGGUGACAGAGCAGGGGUACCGGGAAUCACAAACUAGUCUUUAUCUUUUAUGCUAGAAUUGAUUAGGAUGAUACGAUUUUUUCAUUAUUAUUAUUUUCCCCACAGAAGUCUUGCUGAGCCAUGGGCUAGGUUUCAGUUUUUGUUGAUGUUCUGCCUUACCCGUGGACGAUGCAUGAGAUCUAGUGACUGGGCUAGUGAUUUUCUGUGAGGAAAAUGAAACCCUCAUGCUUGGCUUUUGCAUGUUUUUCUCUGGGUUAUACAGUCUUUACCCACAAGCAAUGCAGCAAAUUUGAAUCUCCUGUAAACAGCACUGUAGUUAAUCCUGAGAUACUCCGGCAGGUGAGAAAAUUUUUUGGUCAAGCCAUUCAUUGAAAUUCAUUAAAAUCAAAACACUUGCAAAAUUAAAUCAGUUCUGCUGGCAUUUUCUUGCAAAGAAAAAAUGAAAACCCUGCUUUUAACACCUCUUUUUAACGGAUCAGUUUGCAAAGUUUCACAUCCGUAGAGAAGUUGGAGCAGGAAGAAUCGGUCUCGGCAGGGCAGGACACCUUAAGCCAGUAUCUCAACGCAGCACUUUGCAUCUUGAAUCCGUAGCCUGAAAAUGCUGCAUGUCCUAUCGGAUAUGUUGUGUCAUUGAUUUAUUAUGUUAUUCCAUCCUAUGUGUUGAUGGUAACCUUUUGGCAGGGAUUGUUUUCCUUUUCUGGUGUUUCUUUUCUUUCUUUCUUUUUCUUUUUUUCCUUUUUCCUUUUUUUUUUUUGACAGCGCCUACUACGAAGGAGCUCUAAUCCAUGACUUGGCUUCCAGGAUUGAAUGCAAACCCUUUGUGAGUGACAGAGUGCCUGGGCCACAGGAAAUAAAUGGGUGGAUGUGAAUAUAUGCCUCCUUUACAGCCAAUUGAUUCCAGACUCACCAGAUGCCUGUGUGGUCAAAGCAUUCUUGAUCUACCCAAUGGCUUUCAUGCAUAUCAUGCUAUCAGCAUCUGAAUUGAAUCCGCACUCCCAGAUCCAUGCUUGUCCAUCAUGGAAACCAUCAUAUUUUCAAGAAAUUGAGCCAGAGACUAUUUAAACUGUCAGUGCUGCGGGUCAGUUUAAUGCAAAUUUCUCUAUGUUUUGUCUUACACAAAUGUGAGAUCACCACAUUCGCCUUCUGUCCAAACUGACUUGCUUUCUGACUUCUAAAAGAGUGCCUUUACUUUGUGGCAGUGAAAGUUGAGGCAUGUUCAAUAAAAGAUCUUUAGUUUUGUUGAAACAAAUUAGUUCAUGGAAACAUGAUAAAUAAGGAAAAUUAAAAUAAUGUACAAGAUUUAAGC